rnacentral:rRNA from 1 species
UACGAAGGGCGCAAGCGUUACUCGGAAUUACUGGGCGUAAAGCGUGCGCAGGCGGUUCGCUAAGACAGAUGUGAAAUCCCCGGGCUUAACCUGGGAACUGCAUUUGUGACUGGCGGGCUAGAGUAUGGCAGAGGGGGGUAGAAUUCCACGUGUAGCAGUGAAAUGCGUAGAGAUGUGGAGGAAUACCGAUGGCGAAGGCAGCCCCCUGGGCCAAUACUGACGCUCAUGCACGAAAGCGUGGGGAGCAAACAGG